UGGGUGACCGCAAACGGUAUGUCUGG
rnacentral:piRNA from 1 species